GACGAACGCUGGCGGCGUGCUUAACACAUGCAAGUCGAACGGAAAGGCCCUGCUUUUGUGGGGUGCCCGAGUGGCGAACGGGUGAGUAACACGUGAGUAACCUGCUCUUGACUUUGGGAUAACUUCAGGAAACUGGGGCUAAUAUCGGAUAGGAGCCCCCGUUGCAUGGUGGGGGUUGGAAAGUCUCGGCGGUUGGGGAUGGACUCGCGGCUUAUCAGCUUGUUGGUGGGGUAGUGGCUUACCAAGGCUUUGACGGGUAGCCGGCCUGAGAGGGUGACCGGCCACAAUGGUACUGAGAGACGGCCCAGAGUCCUACGGGAGGCAGCAGUGGGGAGUAUUGCACAAUGGGCGGAAGCCUGAUGCAGCAACGCCGCGUGCGGGAUGACGGCCUUCGGGUUGUAAACCGCUUUCGCCUGUGACGAAGCGUGAGUGACGGUAAUGAGUAAAGAAGCACCGGCUAACUACGUG
rnacentral:rRNA from 1 species